GCUUAAACCCUAAACCCCGCGGGGAAUUUCCUCUUCAUCUUCCUCAAUUCAAAUUCACCACAGAUAAUGGCGCCAGUGAUUCGACCAUUGAGGAAAUGCCUUCAGCUUUCUUCUUCUUCUUCUCACAAAGCACUAAUUUGCAAGCGCACCGACAAAAUCCCAUCACAUUCCCACCUGAAAACCCUACAUUUCCGACAUGCUCAGAUUCGUAUUCGAAGGAACUUGAUUUCGGAUAUGAACUUGAUUUCUCUCUCCCAAUCAGGGAAUUGGAUAAUGAAUAUGUUGAAGCAAGGAGUGCGGCUCUGUUUUCCUUCAUAAAUCUUUGAAGAACAAGGAUAAACAGAGUUCUUUAGAUGAAUGGAAACUGUAAAAGCAUUCAUUGAAAUCAAUUGAAAUUAUUGACUCUGCAGUAUUUUCAUAUGAGAACAGUUGUCUGCUGUUGGAGCUAUUGGCGCUGUUGGAUAUCGAUUUUUGAAACUACCGCCAUUUUAGUCUUUCAACCACUCAUAAAUUUGAUGGCUUUACUAGAAAAAAUGGAGAGCUAUGAAGUAUAACUCAAUGAAUAGACAACCCAACUGCUGAGGUAAGAUUCCGUGCCUUCUCAUGUCAUUUUCAAGACAUUGUGAUAUUUUCUGCUUUAUUUUGGGAAGUCCUUGUAAUAUGGGAUUUUAAUAAUAAUGAUUGUGUUUUAUUAUAAGAUUCCAGUUUCUCUUCUAUUUUAUUCUCUGAGAAAUCAGUAUGUGCUGACCAAUGAAAUACCGAGAUAUUGAUGUCGACUUGAUCGGUACUUUUCCAAUGGACUGAUCUAUUGAGGAUUGUUGGGAGAAGAGUCCUACGUUUGCUAAUUAAGGAGUUGAUCAUGGUUUAUAAGUAAAGAAUACAUCCAUGGGCCUUUUGGAGAAAUCAAAAGCGAAGCUAUGAGAGCUUAUGUUCAAAGUGGACAAUAUUAUACCAUUGUGGAGGUCCGUGAUUCCUAACAUGAUCUACUGAAAAGUACCCAAGGUAUGAAAUCAAGAAAAUGUGAUGUCAUGGGUAGCACAACUGGGGAUCUUGCACCACAUAAACUUGUUUGAUUUCAAGAGAGACGAUCCUUCCAUGAGGGAAUACUACAGGCCACAUAUUAUCUUCUAAACGGAGGAAAGCAGGAUUUUUACGUGUGUGGUAAUUUAAGGCAAAGGAAAAAAAGGGGGGAAAGGUUUUGGUCCAUCUUAGAAUUACAGCCUCAAAGACAAGUCUAAACAGUCUAGCUUGUGCAGUUCAUUAUGAGGACGCUUUGAAUCCAACAAUGUGUCACUGUUUGACGACAGCCUCCAACCACCAUCAAAACCUGCUGCUCCGCUGCUUGAUGGCAGUACCGGUGAGGCCCCCGACUGAUAAUUCUUCGACAAGGGCCAUUUGCCAGUUGCCACUUGCGUGUAAAGAGGCUGUCUGUCCCAGACCUCAGGCUCAAAAGGAUGAAAGGAACCAAAAACAGGUGCAUGGGAAAAUGGCUUAUGAAUCAUUGAAUGCAUUUGAAUUCCAAGUGAUCUAUUGAAGCCUUGAAAAGGCAGGGAGGACACACUCGAGUGUUUGCAAUCAGUUGAAUUGGUAACUAAUUUAUGGGCUGGUUUAGCCUUUUUCCUCUUUCGAUUAUGAGCAUUUUGGUGGCCUCCAAGUGCCUGUGAACUCAAGAACUCCCUUGGGCAAAAAGUGCAGGAGAAAACUCGAGGCUUAGCUGCUGCUUCUGUACCUUCGUAAGAAAUGUAGUUUGGUAAAUUAUCAGCACAAAAAAAGUCAAUUAGGUUCAAUUCUUCUGGCAAACUCCCACCCAAAUCCUUGUUUGAGAGGCUUAGAUCGAGAGAAACAAGUUCAGGGCUUAUGUCUUUUGAGUCACUUGGAUCUUUUAUUUCUGGAGGGCUAUCCAUUGAAACUUGUUGCAGCCAUGGAAGUUCAUCUGCCAAUGAGUUGAUGCUGGUAGUUUCUGGCUCUGAUUUUGCUGGAAGACUCAUGGGUUGCAUUGUGCGGCACUUACUUCUCAGCAGCAAGUGAGUUAAGCCUAUUCGUUCGUGCGUCGCCUACGGCCAAGCGACGUAUGCUCGAGCUUCUAGCCCCAGUUCAAGAAGAAAAUUUUAGAAAACGGGGCAGAGAGUUUUGAAGGCAAGAGUUGAGAAAUUGAAAUUUGUGUUAUAUGAAAAUGUAAGCAAAAGGCAAUCACAAUAGCUUACUAUCGGGUAGGGGGAA